rnacentral:rRNA from 1 species
AGUGAACGCUGGCGGUAGGCCUAACACAUGCAAGUCGAACGGCAGCACAGUAAGAGCUUGCUCUUACGGGUGGCGAGUGGCGGACGGGUGAGGAAUACAUCGGAAUCUACUUUUUCGUGGGGGAUAACGUAGGGAAACUUACGCUAAUACCGCAUACGACCUACGGGUGAAAGCAGGGGAUCUUCGGACCUUGCGCGAUUGAAUGAGCCGAUGUCGGAUUAGCUAGUUGGCGGGGUAAAGGCCCACCAAGGCGACGAUCCGUAGCUGGUCUGAGAGGAUGAUCAGCCACACUGGAACUGAGACACGGUCCAGACUCCUACGGGAGGCAGCAGUGGGGAAUAUUGGGCAAUGGGCGCAAGCCUGAUCCAGCCAUACCGCGUGGGUGAAGAAGGCCUUCGGGUUGUAAAACCCUUUUGUUGGGGAAGAAAAGCAGCAGGUUAAUACCCCGCUGUUCUGACGGUACCCAAAGAAUAAGCACCGGCUAACUUCGUG